AUUGAACGCUGGCGGCAUGCUUUACACAUGCAAGUCGAGCGGUAACAGGCCUUCGGGUGCUGACGAGUGGCGCACGGGUGAGUAAUGCAUCGGAACGUACCCAGAGGUGGGGGAUAACGCAGCGAAAGCUGUGCUAAUACCGCAUGUGAUCUGAGGAUGAAAGCGGGGGACCGAGCAGCAAUGUUUGGCCUCGCGCCUUUGGAGCGGCCGAUGUCGGAUUAGCUAGUUGGUGGGGUAAAGGCCUACCAAGGCGACGAUCCGUAGCUGGUCUGAGAGGACGACCAGCCACACUGGGACUGAGACACGGCCCAGACUCCUACGGGAGGCAGCAGUGGGGAAUUUUGGACAAAGGGCGCAAGCCUGAUCCAGCAAUGCCGCGUGCGGGAAGAAGGCCUUCGGGUUGUAAACCGCUUUUGGCAGGAACGAAACGGUGUCCGCUAAUACCGGGCGCUAAUGACGGUACCUGCAGAAUAAGCACCGGCUAACUACGUG
rnacentral:rRNA from 1 species